GCCUAAGCAGAGCUGCGAAACGAGUUGCUGAUUGGGUUGUUGAGCUGUAACAAAAACCGAAUAUGCAAACAUUAUUAACUUAAAGAGAAAAAAAAGAAGGAAAGAGAAGUCAAUGCAUUCAAGGACCUUAAUACUUUAGCUUUCUGGAAUGGAAUAUUCAUGUUGGGAAUUUACGCGAGGCUCAAAUUUAAUCGCGGCUCUUCAGGUUGACAUACUUUCAAUGGAGUUACAAUAAAAGCAACGAAAAUGGUAGACCAGUUUGUUAGAUUUCUGCAAUACAUGGAACCGGCAUUUUCGAUGUCACGAUGCCUCUUGUACAUACAUAUACUUGGAUUGUAUGUACGUGUUGCAUCUGUAUGGGCGCGGUUGUUUCUCAGCGUCACGGUUAAAAAUAUAACUUAAAUCAGCAUGUGAAUUUAAAUUCCGCUCGGAGACGUGCACCAUAGCAACUACGACAAAAACCUUCGUGAUAUUCGAUUUGUAUAUUCAGAUCAUACUUCGCCUUUGUUACUUCUCGAGAGAAUCAUUCAAAGUCAACGAGCAGAUUAUUCAAAG
rnacentral:lncRNA from 1 species